rnacentral:rRNA from 1 species
UGGGGAAUAUUGCACAAUGGGGGAAACCCGUCGAUGCAGCGACGCCGCGUGAACGAAGAAGUAUUUCGGUAUGUAAAGUUCUAUCAGCAGGGAAGAUAAUGACGGUACCUGACUAAGAAGCACCGGCUAAAUACGUGCCAGCAGCCGCGGUAAUACGUAGGUUGCAAGCGUUGUCCGGAUUUACUGGGUGUAAAGGGCGUGUAGGCGGAGGAGCAAGUCAGAUGUGAAAUCCCGGGGCUUAACCCCGGAACUGCAUUUGAAACUGUUUCCCUUGAGUAUCGGAGAGGCAAGCGGAAUUCCUAGUGUAGCGGUGAAAUGCGUAGAUAUUAGGAGGAACACCAGUGGCGAAGGCGGCUUGCUGGACGACAACUGACGCUGAGGCGCGAAAGUGUGGGGAGCAAACAGGAUUAGAUACCCUGGUAGU